rnacentral:tRNA from 1 species
GGCGGGGUAGCUCAGUGGUAGAGCACUGGUCUGAAAAACCAGGUGUCGACAGUUCAAUUCUGUCCCCCGCCA